ensembl:miRNA
UGACUGGGAUGAGCAGAUGCUGGGGCUGAGAGUGUCAUGGUGGAGCCUCCGUCCCUGCUCAUCCUCCCCGCAUGUUG